rnacentral:rRNA from 1 species
UACAGAGGUCUCAAGCGUUGUUCGGAUUCAUUGGGCGUAAAGGGCGCGUAGGCGGCGGGGUAAGUCUGGUGUGAAAUCUCGGAGCUCAACUCCGAAAUUGCACUGGAUACUGCUCUGCUUGAGGGUUGGAGAGGAGAUCGGAAUUCACGGUGUAGCAGUGAAAUGCGUAGAUAUCGUGAGGAAGACCAGUGGCGAAGGCGGAUCUCUGGACAAAUCCUGACGCUGAGGCGCGAAGGCUGGGGGAGCAAACGGG